UGAAACAGCUGCUUGUUCUUUUAUCCUUCGAACUUCUUUUUACCGUCAUCAAAAUUUUCCCUCUUUUUUCUAAAUUUUCAGUUUCACUUCAUUUCAUCAAACCCACUCCCCCAAAUUUCACUUUCUAUUUGCCCCAAAAUUUAAAAAAUCUGUCACAAUAUCUCCUAAAUUUUCGCGUUCCUCUACUACCACGUUUUCCCUCUUCACAAUUCCUAAUUUCUCUUCCUGCAUUGCAAUCUCGAAUCUCUCCAAAAGCUUCUACUCACCAAGGCCAUCUUCAUCGACGACACCUUCUCCAAAGCCUUUCUCACUGCUGACCAAGCCUGCUCCAUCAAACUGCUUCAGCAACGAGUUGAGACAUUGGAGAGGGAGCUUGACGCUGCCAUCACCGCUGCAGCUCGCCCUCGCUCCAAGAAACGACAAGCUGAGGCCGCUCAUAAAGUCGCCGAAUCACACGCAUUGGAGAGCUGGGAAGCGUUAAAAAAUGAAGGCGCGGUGUUGGGACCCACUCACAUGGCUCUGGCAUUUUCGUAUUAUAAAGCACUCACCCACUCCAUAUACAGAGAUCAUUAGUGACCAUAAACGACACUGUUUCGAUCCAAGAUCUCAGUCACGUCACGCCAAGAUCUUCUGUUGUUCCACCACGCCAAACCCUAGGCUCCAUCGGGCAAUGCGGGAUUUAUCGAGAGAGGGUUAGCGUAAAGGUGCCAAACGAAGAAAAUGCUCGCUUUCGUUUUCGUCGUUGUUGUCACCUUCAUUUCCCUCUGAGAGUUUUGUCAGUGCCACGACCACGUUUUCACAUUCACCAUGCACCACCGCCACUCUGAACCCGUCAGAAAGUGGUCCCAUGCUGAGUACUACAUUGAGUUGGCCGACCGCGACCGCUUCCUCCUGUGGCCGCAAACUCUCUCAAAUCUAUGCCAGUCUCGCUUUCUCAGAUGGCAACUCCACCUUCCGCAUCAGCUCCCUCGGAUUGUACCUUUUUUUCUCUUUGAUUCUUCUAUUGUCAUUAUUUAAAGGUUUAUUUUUCAAAAUUUUAAUUUAAGUAUAAUCUCUUCUACUCUUUUCUAACCAUAAAAUUAUAGGAAAAUUGAAUUUUGUUAAUAAUUAUGUUGAAACCGUUUUUAAUUAGUUGAUAAUGUGAAAAUUAGCGUAUGAAUAGUUGAAAAUAGAUUCUUCUUUUAAUUUAAAUUGAUUAAUAAUUUCUUUAUAAUAAUUUAGUUAUUAGUUUAAUGAAGUGACAAUGGCUUAAGAUUUGAAUUCUGAAGGAGAUUGGCCAUGUUUAGAAAGAAGAAAUUACUAUUUAGAUGUGAAUAAUGUUUGAGUUUGACCAUUCUUUGUUAAUGAUUUCGGUGAUGUUACGAAUUUUUGUCAGUAAUGUUUUUUCUUGGAGAUUGGUUCCUGGUUUUCUUUAACCUAUUCUUUUUCUUCUGGAGAUUCAUACAAUUUGCAUUAUAUGAUAGUUGAAAUAGGGACAUCGGCAGUGAAGUUCAUGGUGGCGCUUGAUACCGAAAGUGACCUGUUCUGGGUACCCUGUGAUUGCACAAGAUGUGCUGCUACUGAUAGCCCAACCUUUGCUUCGGAUCAAAAUCAUNUGUGGAUGUGGUGAUUGGUAGAUUGCUCCUGCUUUUGACAACAUUAUGAACUAUUGUAAAGGUGUAAUAUGUAUAUAUUAUAACAUUGAACUUAAAGUUUUCAAAAAGAAUAUUUACAAAGUUCAAGUGAAUAAAACAUAAUUAUUAUUGUGAAACUGUNUGGAGGAGUAUAUGAUUAUAAUGAAAGCAUGACUACGAAGGAGGAACAAUUUCAACUAAUUAUUUUCCUAAUUGCAGAUACCAACAUACCAUGACAAUCAAAUUAUUGAAGUUAGGGAAGAUUGAUGUUUACAUGUAAUUAAUACAUGUUUAUAGGUUAUGUUAUUGUGAUGUACAUGCUUACAGGGACAAGGAUAUAUAUGUUAUGGUUGUAUAUACUAUCUUAUAAAACAAUGUCAUGUCAUGACACCUAUUUGAGACUCAAGGAUUAUAUUUUGAAAUAUUAUUGUACCAAUAGUUUUUAUUCAUACAUUGAAGUA